UACGGAGGGUGCAAGCGUUAUCCGGAUUCACUGGGUUUAAAGGGUGCGUAUGUGGGCUAGUAAGUCCGUGGUGAAAUCUCCAAGCUUAACUUGGAAACUGCCGUGGAUACUAUUAGUCUUGAAUAUUGUGGAGGUAAGCGGAAUAUGUCAUGUAGCGGUGAAAUGCUUAGAUAUGACAUAGAACACCGAUAGCGAAGGCAGCUUGCUACACAAUCAUUGACACUGAGGCACGAAAGCGUGGGGAGCAAACAGG
rnacentral:rRNA from 1 species